AGUGAACGCUGGCGGUAGGCCUAACACAUGCAAGUCGAACGGCAGCACAGGAGAGCUUGCUCUCUGGGUGGCGAGUGGCGGACGGGUGAGGAAUACAUCGGAAUCUACUCUGUCGUGGGGGAUAACGUAGGGAAACUUACGCUAAUACCGCAUACGACCUACGGGUGAAAGCAGGGGACCUUCGGUCCUUGCGCGAUUGAAUGAGCCGAUGUCGGAUUAGCUAGUUGGCGGGGUAAAGGCCCACCAAGGCGACGAUACGUAGCUGGUCUGAGAGGAUGAUCAGCGACACUGGAACUGAGACACGGUCCAGACUACUACGUGAGGCAGCAGUGGGGAAUAUUGGACAAUGGGCGCAAGCCUGAUCCAGCCAUACCGCGUGGGUGAAGAAGGCCUUCGGGUUGUAAAGCCCUUUUGUUGGGAAAGAAAUCCAGCUGGCUAAUACCCGGUUGGGAUGACGGUACCCAAAGAAUAAGCACCGGCUAACUUCGUGCCAGCCGCCGCAGUAA
rnacentral:rRNA from 1 species